CGAGUGAAGAGGGAAGAGCUCAAAUUGAAAGCUGGUACCUUCGGUAUCCGCGUUGUAACCUCGAGACACGUUUUCCUUGCGGCGCUAUGGACAAGUUCCUUGGAACAGGACAUCGUAGAGGGUGAAAAUCCCGUACUUGCCACGGAUGUACCGUGCUUUGCGAUACGUGCUCUAGAGUCGAGUUGUUUGGGAUUGCAGCUCAAAAUGGGUGGUAGACUCCAUCUAAAGCUAAAUAUCGGGGAGAGACCGAUAGCGAACAAGUACCGUGAGGGAAAGAUGAAAAGCACUUUGGAAGAGAGUUAAAAGUACGUGAAAUUGUCGAAAGGGAAGCGCUUGAAGUCAGCCAUGCCGCUCAGGACUCAGCCUGGCUUUUGCUUGGUGUAUUUCCUGGGUAGCAAGUCAGCAUUGGUUUGGAUCGUUGGAGAAGCAUAGUCGGAAUGUGGCGCCGUGGGGCGUGUUAUAGCCUUCUA
rnacentral:rRNA from 1 species